GUGUCAGCAGCCGCGGUAAAACGUAGGAGCCAAGCGUUAUCCGAAUUUACUGGGCGUAAAGCGCAAGCAGGCGGCUUGGUAAGUUGGCUGUGAAAUCUCCCGGCUCAACUGGGAGGGGACGGUCAAGACUGCCAGGCUGGAGGCAGGUAGAGGGAGGUGGAAUUCCCGGUGUAGUGGUGAAAUGCGUAGAUAUCGGGAGGAACACCAGUGGCGAAAGCGGCCUCCUGGACCUGACCUGACGCUGAGGUGCGAAAGCUAGGGGAGCGAACGGGAUUAGAAACCCCAGUAGUCC
rnacentral:rRNA from 1 species